rnacentral:rRNA from 1 species
GUAGUUAGUCGUCAGCAAGGUCAGAUAGGGCAGCUAACUAAAGUCAUACCGCCUGAUGACGAUUGCGAAACAGUUGAAUCACGUACAUAGGGUACUAUGGCGAGAUGUCUUGGACUGUGCAACAUACAUAGCUCUACAUCAUC